AGUGAACGCUGGCGGUAGGCCUAACACAUGCAAGUCGAACGGCAGCACAGUAAGAGCUUGCUCUUACGGGUGGCGAGUGGCGGACGGGUGAGGAAUACAUCGGAAUCUACUUUUUCGUGGGGGAUAACGUAGGGAAACUUACUCUAAUACCGCAUACGACCUACGGGUGAAAGCAGGGGAUCUUCGGACCUUGCGCGAUUGAAUGAGCCGAUGUCGGAUUAGCUAGUUGGCGGGGUAAAGGCCCACCAAGGCGACGAUCCGUAGCUGGUCUGAGAGGAUGAUCAGCCACACUGGAACUGAGACACGGUCCAGACUCCUACGGGAGGCAGCAGUGGGGAAUAUUGGACAAAGGGCGCAAGCCUGAUCCAGCCAUACCGCGUGGGUGAAGAAGGCCUUCGGGUUGUAAAGCCCUUUUGUUGGGAAAGAAAAGCAGCAGGUUAAUACCCCGCUGUUCUGACGGUACCCAAAGAAUAAGCACCGGCUAACUUCGUG
rnacentral:rRNA from 1 species